UUACCAUGCAGUCGAACGGCAGCACGGGAGCAAUCCUGGUGGCGAGUGGCGAACGGGUGAGUAAUACAUCGGAACGUGUCCUGGAGUGGGGGAUAGCCCGGCGAAAGCCGGAUUAAUACCGCAUACGCUCUGAGGAGGAAAGGGGGGGAUCUUAGGACCUCUCGCUCAAGGGGCGGCCGAUGGCAGAUUAGCUAGUUGGUGGGGUAAAGGCCUACCAAGGCGACGAUCUGUAGCUGGUCUGAGAGGACGACCAGCCACACUGGGACUGAGACACGGCCCAGACUCCUACGGGAGGCAGCAGUGGGGAAUUUUGGACAAUGGGCGCAAGCCUGAUCCAGCAAUGCCGCGUGUGUGAAGAAGGCCUUCGGGUUGUAAAGCACUUUUGUCCGGAAAGAAAACACGCCUGUUAAUACCGGGUGUGGAUGACGGUACCGGAAGAAUAAGCACCGGCUAACUACGUGCCAGCAGCCGCGGUAAUACGUAGGGUGCAAGCGUUAAUCGGAAUUACUGGGCGUAAAGCGUGCGCAGGCGGUUCGUUAAGACAGAUGUGAAAUCCCCGGGCUUAACCUGGGAACUGCAUUUGUGACUGGCGGACUCGAGUAUGGCAGAGGGGGGUAGAAUUCCACGUGUAGCAGUGAAAUGCGUAGAGAUGUGGAGGAAUACCGAUGGCGAAGGCAGCCCCCUGGGCCAAUACUGACGCUCAUGCACGAAAGCGUGGGGAGCAAACAGGAUUAGAUACCCUGGUAGUCCACGCCCUAAACGAUGUCAACUGGUUGUCGGGUCUUCAUUGACUUGGUAACGAAGCUAACGCGUGAAGUUGACCGCCUGGGGAGUACGGUCGCAAGAUUAAAACUCAAGAAG
rnacentral:rRNA from 1 species